rnacentral:rRNA from 1 species
UACGUAGGCAGCGAGCGUUGUUCGGAGUUACUGGGCGUAAAGGGUGUGUAGGCGGUUGUUUAAGUUUGGUGUGAAAUCUCCCGGCUCAACUGGGAGGGUGCGCCGAAGACUGCAGGGCUUGAGUAUGGGAGAGGUAAGCGGAAUUCCUGGUGUAGCGGUGAAAUGCGUAGAUAUCAGGAGGAACACCUGUGGUGUAGACAGCUUACUGGACCAUAACUGACGCUGAGGCACGAAAGCGUGGGUAGCAAACAGG